GAACACAAUUAGAGAAGCUUUGAUCUGGGAGGAGCGAGAACUUAUAUACAGAGGAGGCGGGGCUAAUGGCUCGUUCUGGGCAUGCUCAGUCUUCAUUUUCUUCCAGCAGUCGGCGAGGGAGGUUCCUUUGUUUGCAGCUCCCGGGGUGAUGUCCCAGAUGGCCUUCUGUUGUUCUGUUUUGUUUCCAGAGGGCCUCUGGUGGCUGGAAAAUGCCUGGGACGCUGCUCUGCUCGUCGUGGAGUCUCUGGAGUCGCGAGGAUCGGGGGAGAAGACACUGGAGGCUUGUCGGCCAUUUUCUCUGCCACUAUUGCCGGUGGAGCUGGGUUGCUCUGCGAGUCGCUCUUCGGUAGGAACACAAUUAGAGAAGCUUUGAUCUGGGAGGAGCGAGAACUUAUAUACAGAGGAGGCGGGGCUAAUGGUAAGUAGUAACCAAUGGUAAGUGACACAAUGACAUCACACAAUGACAUAU